GAUCCCGGCGUCCACCGCCCCGCCCCGGCGAAGGGCCCCCCAAAGCCCCUCUCUCUCUCUUUCUCUCACACACACGCACACACACAGCCAUACACAUCUCCUCAGAUCGGUCUCCCAGACCCUGUCGAAGCCAGAGCACCUACCUGUAUCGGCCGCGCUCCAAGGUUCCAAGGGGGCGGGCGCGGUCCCCUCCCCAAGACGCCGAGUGCUUCUCUCAGCCACCCUUAAAGCGACGGCUUCGCUUUCCCAGGAGCGGGAGGGAGACGAGGAGGCGGAGGGGGUGGGGGUUAGGAGAGGAGUUGAGGGGCGGCCGAAGCCAAGCCGGAAGUACUAAUGCUGGCCCCACCCACCUCCCGGAGCCGCAGAGCAUCCUGGCUCUCCUGAUAGGACAAACCCUCCGCAGUCACUGAGAAAUUCAGACCACCACUUCCGGGUCGUCCAUGCUGCAGCCCCUCCUUAGCAACAGCGUGGGGUUGCUAAGCGGAAGUGCCUUUAACGAUACCCACCCCCAUUUCUUCUGGGACUGUUGGGAGCAGGGUCCGGAGCUUCGUGUUGUCGUUGGGAAAGAUCCUUCGACCUUUAGUUCAGAGUGUUGGGCCAAGUAAACGCUUCGCUGCCGCAGGUAGUAGGCCUAUGUGUCUGGUCCCCUCGGCUGUUCUCCAGCACCAGCGCCACACUACACACACCUCCUCGCCCCUUCUCGAAUCCUAGGCCAACUCAGUGGCUCCUCCCAAAGCUCCUCUCUCAGGUCCCUUGCGUGAGUUUCUCCUUGUCUACCAAGCGUCUCCCUCUGGUGGAUUUCCUGUCAUUUCAACCAGACUUUUGCAUGCAUGUCGAUAUUCUGAAACGGCCCAGAAGUCGAAUACAGGCGAAACAAAAGACCAAAGAAUGCCGGUAACCAAGCUUGAGUAGGAAGACAACUAAUCCUCCCUUCAGAAUAAACCGUACUGUGAACAAGAAAGUUGUCCAUAAAAGAACCUCAUUUAGGCUGGGGAUGUAGAUCUAUGGUACAGCCCAUGCCUGGCAUGCACAAGGUCCUUAGUUCGAUUCCCAGGCACUGUAGAAGGGGGAGGGGGCAAAACCUCAUUUAAACUGAACAUGGAUAAGUAGGACUGUAAUGCUUGGGCGCCAGAGGAAGAGAGAAGAGGAUAGGGGGUACAAGGCCUAGGCUACAUGGUUGCAAAGGACGUGCUCUGUGAAGAAAAGAACUUCAAUCACUCAAGUAUCAACUGCUUAUGAAAUCAGAACAUUAAUAAUGAAGUAGGUCUGCUCAAUGUUAAGAUGUUGAACCCAGGGUCUUGCCCUGACAAGUCUCUGUCACUGACUGAGCACAUCUCCAAGCCCAGUCUCAUCAUUAUGGCAGCCAAAGCAGAAGAGAGUACAAGGCUCUAGCUCCAGAAUGAUUUCAAUGCAAAUCUGGAUUACCAGGAGAUUUACGAUUGGUGUCCACCAUCUAAUUAACCCUUGAGAUGAUCUUCAAGGCAGUCCAGUUUGAGCUUCUCAGCAUUUUCUGUGUUACUAACCCAGUGAGAUGAGUAGCUGUGAAGACCUGGUUGUUUUCCUUGCACCACUGGAUUUGCAGGUGCCACUUGGUCCAAUAUUAGAAUGUGAUCUGGUUUGAGGCUCUUAACGGAUAAGACACAGAAAGGUAAGCAAGACCCCAAGGAUACUGGCUAUAGCUUUUAGGGAGCUGCUGGAGGAUACCACGGUGGUGGCUUCAGGGGCAUCAGUUUCAUAGUAGGUAGGGCCCGCUGUGCUGGUUAAAGGGACAAACGACUCAACCUGCAUAGGAAGGACCACAAGGAGCAACAGCCCCAAACAGAGUCUGACCGCCAUCCUCUCGCCCCUGAGGGUCAGGGUGCUGAGUGUCCAGCUUGCUGCCUGUUGAGCUGGAAGUUUUCUAGGCUUUUGGCUGGUGUGGAGAUUACAAACUAGGUCUUACUUUCAUGGAGACAUCACAAUGACAGUGUCAUGGUGCUACACCCUCUUUCUACACUCAAGUCCUUUUUUGGUUUUGUUUUUUGAAGCAGGAUCUCAGGUAGUUCAGGCUAGCCCCUCAAUCUCACAAGUCUUUCCUUUAGAAUUAAAAAAUUUUUGAAAAGGAAAUAGUGGGCAAGACAUGUUGGUGCACAACUCUAAUCCAGAACUCAGGAGGCAGAGGCAAGUGAGUCUCCGAGUUCUGGGUCAGCCUGGACUACAUAGUAAGUUCCUGGCCAGUCAAGGCUACAGAGUAAGAUCCUGUCUCAAAAAAGAAAAUGAAAAUGUGGGGGCAGUGAAA